GACGAACGCUGGCGGCGUGCUUAACACAUGCAAGUCGAACGGAAAGGCCUGCUUUCCCUUGUGGAUUGCGGGUACUCGAGUGGCGAACGGGUGAGUAACACGUGAGUGAUCUGCCCCCAACUUGGGUAUAAGCCUGGGGAACUGGGUCUAAUUCCCGAUAGGACUGCAGGGUGGUGCCUGUGGUGGAAAACGAUUUUCUAGUGGUUGGGGAUGAGCUCGCGGCCUAUCAGCUUGUUGGUGGGGUAAUGGCCUACCAAGGCGGCGACGGGUAGCCGGCCUGAGAGGGUGGACGGCCACAUUGGGACUGAGAUACGGCCCAGACUCCUACGGGAGGCAGCAGUGGGGAAGAUUGCACAAUGGGCGGAAGCCUGAUGCAGCGACGCCGCGUGGGGGAUGACGGCCUUCGGGUUGUAAACUCCUUUCGACCGCGAGGAAGCCACCUGGUUGGAAGGGUGGUGACGGUAGUGGUAGAAGAAGCACCGGCUAACUACGUG
rnacentral:rRNA from 1 species